UUUACAAAGCGAAGCAACAACAUUCAACAGCAACGGAUUUCGAUCGAUCAUGAAUCAAGCACGCAAGAGGCAGCACCGACAACGACGUAGAAAAAGAGGGCGUAGCGAUUUUAAAAAGGCUAAUUUCCAACAGUCAGUAUAACUGAAAUUUACCGGAGCUAAAUUGCAACGUAAUAUAUUCGGCCAAAAAUAAUUUUAACCUAAGGACUUGCACUACUUUCAAAGUAAACAUCUUUCCAAGCCAAAUAUUAGAGAAUUUCAAUUAUUUCCACUGUAGAUUACAUAAGGAUAAAAAUAUAUUAAGUUUUUAUCUACAUUUCUUUCAAAAAGGUAAUGCAUGAAAGAAUAGAAAGUUAAGAGAGUUUUAAGACAUUAUGGAAACGAGAAUUUUGAAAAUGGUGCCAAUUUAUGUUUAAAGAAUAUACUGUCGAGUUAAGCAAUAUAGGUUUUGUAUAGCCUAAACGCCAUCUUUGGUUAAAAAGGAGUAAAUAAAGAACUGAACCGAACUUCUUUGAAUAAAGAAUUUUCUCUAUUUUCAAAAUAAACGACUCCUGUUGCCGAGCGAAUCCUAGGUCGCAAAGACGUUGGCCCAAGAUCGAAAUCCGCUAAUAGAAGCCGCCAGGUAGACGUAUCCCAGGAAAAGGAUUCGAGGUUUGAAAUAAGAUUUACGACGUAGAAAAGCGUGGCCUUCGGAGGACCAAGUCCAAAGAUUACCGACAGCAAACAGAUCCACGCCAUGCCACCUCUUCUUUGUUAUGUCGGGUUCGAGCGUGAAAGCUUUUGCCACCUAUUGGUGCAAGCAACGGUUACCGGUGCCCAGAAACCCGCCAAUCGAAUAGUUGAGAGAGAAUGUAUGAGGUUAGGUAUUAUGAUACUUAAGUUUGCAUACAUGUAUUUGGAUCUGUGAGUCAUACAUAAGUUUAAUAUAUUGUGAUUUAUACAUAAGGAUUACCAAUUAGAAGUUCUCUUUCCAAGUUACUUAACUGUCAGUUUCACAAAUUCAAAAAUUUUCAAGUUAACUAUUCCAAAUUCUUAAAUUUCCAAGUUACCAUAUUUCC